rnacentral:rRNA from 1 species
CGAGUUGUUUGGGAAUGCUGCUCAAAAUGGGAGGUAAACCCCUUCUAAAGCUAAAUAUUGGCCAGAGACCGAUAGCGCACAAGUAGAGUGAUCGAAAGAUGAAAAGCACUUUGAAAAGAGAGUUAAACAGCACGUGAAAUUGUUGAAAGGGAAGCGCUUGCGACCAGACUUGUGCUCGUCGAAUCAGCCGUCGCUCGUCGGCGGCGCAUUUCGGCGGGCUCAGGCCAGCAUCAGUUCGCUGUAGGGGGAGAAAGGCGGUAGGAAUGUGGCUCUUCGGAGUGUUAUAGCCUGCCGUGUAAUACCCCUCGGCGGACUGAGGACCGCGCAUCUGCAAGGAUGCUGGCGUAAUGGUUGUCAGCGNCCCGUCUUGAAACC